CCUACGGGUGGCAGCAGUGGGGAAUAUUGGGCAAUGGGCGCAAGCCUGACCCAGCAACGCCGCGUGAAGGAAGAAGGCUUUCGGGUUGUAAACUUCUUUUCUCAGGGACGAAGAAAGUGAUGGUACACGAGGAAUCAGCCACGGCUAACUAGGCGCCAGCAGCGGUGGUACUACGUAGGUGGCAAGCGUUAUCCGGUUUUAUUGGGUGUAAAGGGAGUGUAGGCGGGAGGGCAAGUCAGAUGUGAAAGCUCAGGGCUCAACCCUGGGCCUGCAUUUGAAACUGUGUUUCUGGAGUGCUGGAGAGGCAAGCGGAAUUCCGGGUGUAGCGGUGAAAUGCGUAGAUAUAAGGAGGAACACCAGUGGCGAAGGCGGAUUGCUGGACGGUAACUGACGCUGAGGCGCGAAAGCGUGGGGAGCAAACAGGAUUAGAUACCCGAGUAGUC
rnacentral:rRNA from 1 species